GACAUUGAAUUGUUAGAAACAGUGCUGCCGUCUGGCGAAAGUUCGUCGUCCUCUUCGAUGCUGUUCUGGAGAAGAAGUUGCUGCUCGUGUUCCUGUUCAUCACGAGCGGAAGGCAAUCUGGUAAGUGGUCUUUUACUGGAGGAGCUCCUCGUUUUUCUCUUUUGGCCUUGAGCCGUGGUCGCUUGUCUUUGCUGUUGUUGGCUCGCUUGCGGCUUGCUAACAAUGUCGUUUGCGCUUUUGUAGUGCCUCUGGAUCCACUCCAACUAGAAGCAAAGGCGGGGAGAGCAUCAGCGGAAUAACCGAUGAGAUGAAGAACAGGGAAACGUAGUACCUUGCAGCCGAGCGAGCAAAACUUGAAGGUAUCGAGCAAGCUUCGAUCGCAAAUCUCACAUGUGUUUGUGACUCCCUUUGCGUGGCGUGGCUGCGGCCGCUGGUUGAGGAAGACAACGCGAGCGCUGUUGAUAAUGUAGGAUUGGACACCGCUCAAGUCGAGACACUUUUGGAUCUCCGACACGCGAAUUACGUCGUGGUACGAUGACCUCCGGAUCUGCAUGGCAGCGAAAAGAAGCAAAAAAAAAGAGGAGAGAGUUUUGAUCGCGAGCUUUAUAAAGUUUGCAAAGAAAGAAGCAAGGAAACGAAGAAACGCUGUGCAACAAAGCUAUGGAAGAACUGAAACGAAGCUAUGGAAGAAUUGAAAAGCAAAGAAGCGAUGUAACGAAGCUAUGGAAGAAUUGAAGGGAUUAGAAGGAAAGAUUGAUCAUGGCUUGUUCCAAUUGGAAUCAAGAUGAGAGCUCUUCACUUUGUUCGUUUAUCAGCACUCAUCAUCUCAUUGUUUUGAUCGCGCGAUCAAAAAGGGAAUUUUGGAAUUCCGGAACUCAAAUCGUGGUUGGGAGUGAAAUUGCGAUCAAUGCAGGCUGUUCUAUGUGCGCUAAGCAGCGGCGAGAAAACCCACGAGCGCGAUUUUGCUAAGCAAAUCCCAGGAUCACGUAAAAAGCAC
rnacentral:lncRNA from 1 species